AACUUUCAACAACGGAUCUCUUGGCUCUCGCAUCGAUGAAGAACGCAGCGAAAUGCGAUAAGUAAUGUGAAUUGCAGAUUUCAGUGAAUCAUCGAAUCUUUGAACGCACCUUGCGCUCUUUGGUAUUCCAUAGAGCAUGCCUGUUUGAGUGUCAU
rnacentral:rRNA from 1 species